UACGGGGGGGGCAAGCGUUGUUCGGAAUUACUGGGCGUAAAGGGCUCGUAGGUGGCCAACUAAGUCAGACGUGAAAUCCCUCGGCUUAACCGGGGAACUGCGUCUGAUACUGGGAGGCUUGAGUGCGGGAGAGGGAUGUGGAAUUCCAGGUGUAGCGGUGAAAUGCGUAGAUAUCUGGAGGAACACCGGUGGCGAAGGCGAGCUACUGGACAACAUCUGACGCUGAGGCUCGAAGGCUAGGGGAGCAAAAGGG
rnacentral:rRNA from 1 species